rnacentral:lncRNA from 1 species
CACUGAAUUGUUGUAAAUGAUAAAAUUUUCACAGAUGAGGAAUUGCUUCUUAUGGAUCAGAAAAGAAAGUGGUUUCUUGAGAUGGAAUCUACUCCUGAUGAAGAUGCUGUGAAGAUUUUUGAAAUAACAUCUGAGGAUUUAGAACAUUAUAUAACCUUAUUUCAUCAAGCAGCAGCAGGAUUUUAAAGGAUUGACUCCAAUUUUGAAAGAAAUUCCACUGAAGGUAAAAUGCUAUCAAACAGCAUUGCAUGAUGCAGAGAAAUCAUUCGUGAAAGGAAGAGUCAAUGGAUGCAACAAUUCAUUGUUGUCUUAUUUUAGAAGUUGCAACAGCCAUUCCAACCCUCAGCACCAUCAUCCUGAUCUGUCGGCAGCCAUCAACACGGAAGCAAGGCCCUCCACCUGCAAAAAGAUUAUAACCCAUUGAAGGCUCAGAUAAUCAGCAUUUUUUUUUUUUUUUAGCAAUAAAGGACUUUUAAAUUAAGGUAUAUACAUUGGGUUUAGGCAUAAUGUUAUUCACACCUAAUAUAAUGAACUCCCUAAACAUAACUUUUAUAUGCUCUGGGAAACCGAAAAUUUUUGUGACUUGCUUACUGUGAUAUUUGGUGUUUACCGGUGAUCUGGAACUAAACUCACAGUUAUCUCCCAGGUAUUUUUGUAUUGAAAGGGGGGAAAAAAAUCUGUCAACUUAGAAUUAUCUACCCAGCCAAAAAUGUAUUUCAAAAACAAGAGAGACUCUUUCGGACAUACAAAAACUAAGAGUUCAUUACCAGCAAGCCUGCACUGUAAGAACUAUCAAAACAAGUUCUUCAAGUAGGCAACUAUCAGAUGGAUAAACAGGGCUACAUAAAGGGAUGAAGAGCUCCAGAAAUGGUAACUAUUGGAAAAAUAUGUAAGAUUUCUUUUCUUUUUUGAAUCUCCUUAAAAGAAAACAUUUCAAUAACAAGAGCAACAAAAAACCCCAAACAAAUAACAAAAACACUUCAAUGUGGGGCAUAAAUAUUUGUAUACAAAACUAGCAGAUCCGUAAUUUCAAACUAAGGUAGACAAUUUAAGAAAAACCUCAUGAAUACAGAUCCAAAACUUCUUAAAAAUUUGAAAAACAAAUAAAGGCGCAGGGAGUUCCCAUCAUGGCACAGCAGAAAAACAAAUCUGACUAGGAACCAUGAGGUUAUGGGUUCCAUCCUUGGCUUCGCUCAGUGGGUUAAGGAUCCUUCGUUGCUGUGGCUGUGGUGUAGGCCGGCAACUGUAGCUCCGAUUGGACCCCUAGCCUGAGAACCUCCAUAUGCUGCAGGAGCAGCUCCCCUGAAAAAAAUAAAUACAUAAAAGUAAAGGCACGGUAUAUUAUGAAACAUUUUGUUUUGUUUUGUCUUUUUAGGGCCGCAACCUUCAACAGAUGGAGGUUCCCAGGCUAGGGGUCAAGUGGGAGCUGUAACCGCUGGCUUAUGUCACAGUCACAGCAACGCAGGAUCUGAGCCUCGUCUGUGAUCUAUGCCACAGCUCAUGGCAGCACCAGAUCCUUAACCCAGUGUGAUGCCAGUCAGGUUUGUUUCCGCUGAGCCACGAUGGGAACGCCUGAAGCAGUUUUUAUGCUGGGAUGUAAUGAUGGUUCAGGUUAAGAAAUCUGUGCCCAAAGUUUUCUAUGUUGAAGCUUUUUUCUUUUGGCCACAUCUGCAACAGAGAUGGAAUCCACACCACUGCAGUAACCAGAGUGACAGUAGUGACCACUGGAUCCUUAACCCACUAAGCCAUGAGGGAACUCCAAAGCCUCCUUUUUUUAUUCAGUCAUUUGACAAAUGUUCCUUCAUACAGUCCUCUGAAACUUACCGUGAUAUAUAUGCCAGGCACUGGAUACUGGGAAUUCAAUGCUGAAAAAGAUGAGGUCCUGGCCUUCAUGGAGUUGUCUAGAGAGAUGCAAAUAAAUAGAAAAUUAUAACACAGUUAAAAAAAAAAAGGCUAUGAUGAGAAAAAUACAGGGCACUAUGGGAGUACAUGAAUUGGUACUUCAACAUUAUGGUGCUGUUAGAAUGAACCUGUUGAGGUAAUGAUUGCUCAUUCUAGGAUGAUGGCCAUCAGCAGAGAGAUGAGGCUACACAAUAUAAUUAGAAAGUGAUAUGAAAUGUUCAAAUGAUUGAUUGGAGGUGGGAGUCAAAGAUUCUAUGAGGGGAUCUUGAUUUGUUACACAUAAGAUGGUAAAAUAAGGGUCAAGUAAGUUCGAAAAAUGCAAUUAGGUAUAAACAUUCUUUACUAUAGCACUUGUCAGAAGCUUUAUGGUGCCAUUGUCACUUUAAGAGAAAGUCAGUCUUAGUACAUUUUUAGUAAACAUUUGACUACAGAGCCCUGUUAUUUUGCAGAACACCUUGUGAGAGUAGUUUCAUGCAACACACUCUGGGAGAAAACGCUCUCCACAGGAAACAGUCUCUUCCUUUCUACUCCUGCAGCUCCCAGAACCUUGGUGAAUUGUCUCACCAGCUGUAUUCAGUUCUUUGUCCUAUCCCUUUACACAAUACAUUUAUUUAGUUUGGUUACUUUUGACUGGGUGAGACUAAAGUAAAAAAGAUUCACUGGAACCUCACAAGGGGUGUCCCAAAAGCCAUUAAAAAAGAAAAAGAUUAUUCUGAACCAGGGACACCUGUGAAUCAAUAUGAAUGGAUGACCCACAGAUAAGUUGCAAUAAAGCAGUAUUAGUAUUUGUUAAUAUCUACAAAUGCUACCAAAUACAUUUUCUUAUAGGUAAGACACCUGAAAACAGGCUCCUGGGAAACAAAUCCU